CUAGAUUUUACAAAGUUCACCACUGAUCCGUUAGAGUUUUUCCUCACGGAAGCCAUCACCAUGCCAUUGGAUUUCAGCUUAAAAAUCAUUGAAAAAGCUAGGUAAGAACCUAAGAGAUUUAGGUUGAUCUUUUCCCUAGAUUUUCCAACCAUCUUGAUUCCACCUAACAAUUAUUGAUUCUCUUGAGAAAAGCCUUCUCCUAUUUCGAUUUGUUUCCGUCCAUCUU
rnacentral:lncRNA from 1 species